UCUCUCUCUCUUCCUCUCUCCCUCUCUCUUGCGCUGUCCCUCAUUCACUCACUCUUCCAUCUUUUUGCCAUUGUGCCAGCUCAAUUUAAAUGUAUCUGCUCUGUAUCUGUUCAAGAGGAGCUAAUCCACGCAAAUCAGGAGCAGUGCCUUUCAGUGUUUGGUUCACAGAGAGGACUCAGCUUGCGGAGGUCACUCGUUCACUGCCGCUCCUCCCAUUAUAUUUCUCCCCCUUAUUGCCGAACUGCUGUAUGUAUACAGUGACUGAAAGGACUCAAUUUACUGCAACUGCUGCCUGGCUUUACUUACAACUUUUUGUUAUAAAGGAACUUACCUCCAUCUGUCUUUUCAAGAACGGAAAGGGUCCUCUUUGCUCCUGAAGACGGUAAAUCACCGGCUGCGUGGUGGUUCUCAGAAGACACUUAAAGGGCUGAGUUGGAUGCUCUCCAUAGCACCCUUGCCAAAAGAGUUCGGAAAUGACUUCCAGCUUCCCACAGUCAUAAAAUGGCACAGUUUGGCAUCUUUAAGGUCACAGACUACCUAUUCUAAACCUUCUGACUAGUUCUGAAGAGUAUGGAGCUUACAUAGAUUCCUAAGGAAGUAUAACCGUUGUGGGAAAAGAUGAGAAGAGAAGGCGCCAUCUAAUUUCUCCUCCCCCCAUUAGGAAAAGCAUAUUUCUCACUUCCGCCCUCCCCUUAUUUCCUUUCAGGAAUAAGGGUAACAUUAAAGAAAGUUACA